GUCUACAGUCUUGCCACCCUGAAUGUGCCCGAUCUCGUCUGAUCUCAGAAGCUAAGCAGGGUCGGGCCUGGUUGGGAGACCAUCUGGGAAGAUCAGGUGCUGUAGGCG
rnacentral:rRNA from 1 species